AUGUUGCCAUGCUCUCUCAGGAUCUGCUUUGCAAUAGGGUCUUCUCACUUUCUUACAUUGUUUGGUAGUGUACUUUUAUACCUUGCUUUGUGUUUAUCUAUAAAGCAAGGUAGGAUCCUGCUUCGACAGAACACAUUCCUAUCAACAAUCUGGAAAUGUGAAAUGAAAGUCCUAUGUUUGGGUUGUAGACUCGUAAUGAAGGGAAGUAAAGAAGUUUUGGACCACCUGCAGAGAUUCCUAUGUGUAGGCCUAGGGCCAGAUCUAGGGGGGCGAUAUAGCCCUGGUCCGGCCCAUACACUAGUAGUCCCAAAACCUUCGACCUAG
rnacentral:rRNA from 1 species